UCUCCAGCUGGUGGUGAUACGCCCAAGAGAGCAAGGGGACUCUCUCCCGGGACACCGCGCCAACCACGUCUCUUACCCGCUCUCCUGUACAAGGCAACAGCUCGCCGGUUCGCCCGCUGCUUGAGCUGCUCUGCCUUCUUUGUGUCCCGGUGUGAGACGGCUACUCUCUUGUAGAUGCCGUGGUUGCCAAAUUCCAGUACUUGAGAGGCCAGUUUCAGAAAUUAUUAAGGAAAAUAGAAAAAACACCAAGUGAUGCUGCUGGCAACACCUCAUGUAAAUGGGAGUACUUUGAGGCCUGCUCCUUUUUGACACCCAUUUACACUGCAGCAACAAAAAGUGAGCCAAGCUUUGAGCUACCACCAGAAGAUGAGAAUCCUUUAGAUGCUGCUUCUUGGCCUCAUGAAGCGGUCUUGUACGUGGACUCCUCCAAUCUUGCUUGUCGCCUACCAAGUACAUCAGAAAUAAGCGACACUGUUCAACGUGGACCUUCAACAUCAUCAUCAUCAUCAUCUUCAUGACCAUCACCAUCACCCCAUCCCAGCCUGCAAGCAUCCACUCCCAAGGUUGCGCAGAAGAGGAAGAAUGAGAACAAUGACGAGUUACAAAGCAUCUCAUGACAUGCAUUCAUACAUAAAAUUGAUGCAUGGCAUGAGAGUGCAAAGCAAGAAACUUUGCCCAAGUCACGCUAUGAUGUGACAGUAGACCUCCUCAAUACGUGCUUCCAGUAUAUUCCAGAUAAUAGAAAAUAUAUAAAGGACAGGCUUGUAACCAAAGUACAAAGUCUCCUUUUUGAAAGUAUGAAUGAAUGUAAUCAAGGUGAAACUUAAACAUAAUUUUGAUAAAUAAAACAAUGU